GGCUCAGAACGAACGCUGGCGGCAGGUCUUAGGCAUGCAAGUCGAACGGAUGACAAGGGAGCUUGCUCCUUGAAGUCAGUGGCGCACGAGUGAGUAACGCGUGGGAAACUGCCCUUCACUGGGGAAUAACGUUUGGAAACGAACGCUAAUACCGCAUACGCCCGCAAGGGGAAAGAUUUAUCGGUGAUGGAUGUGCCCGCGUUGGAUUAGCUAGUUGGUGGGGUAAUGGCCUACCAAGGCGAUGAUCCAUAGCUGGUCUGAGAGGACGAUCAGCCACGCUGGAACUGAGACACGGUCCAGACUCCUACGGGAGGCAGCAGCUAAGAAUAUUGGGCAAUGGAGGAAACUCUGACCCAGCCAAUGCCGCGUGAAUGAAGAAGGCCUUCGGGUUGUAAAGUUCUUUUAGUCAUGAAGAUGAUGACAGUAGUGACAGAAAAAGCACCGGCUAACUUCGUGCCAGCAGCUGC
rnacentral:rRNA from 1 species